UACGUAGGUGGCAAGCGUUGUCCGGAAUUAUUGGGCGUAAAGCGCGCGCAGGCGGCCUCUUAAGUCUGAUGUGAAAGCCCCCGGCUCAACCGGGGAGGGCCAUUGGAAACUGGGAGGCUUGAGUAUAGGAGAGAAGAGUGGAAUUCCACGUGUGGCGGUGAAAUGCGUAGAGAUGUGGAGGAACACCAGUGGCGAAGGCGACUCUUUGGCCUAUAACUGACGCUGAGGCGCGAAAGCGUGGGGAGCAAACAGG
rnacentral:rRNA from 1 species